rnacentral:ncRNA from 1 species
CAGAGUAGGAAAUCAGGCGUAAAGUGUUGAACAGACGGGGAGUUGCUGUUUGAACGAAAAGCUUUAGGCUUGCGGUUUGGUUUCCGCAUCCCGCUG